rnacentral:rRNA from 1 species
ACGGAAGGCAGCAGUGGGGAAUAUUGCACAAUGGAGGGAACUCUGAUGCAGCGACGCCGCGUGAGUGAUGAAGUAUUUCGGUAUGUAAAGCUCUAUCAGCAGGGAAGACAAUGACGGUACCUGACUAAGAAGCACCGGCUAAAUACGUGCCAGCAGCCGCGGUAAUACGUAUGGUGCAAGCGUUAUCCGGAUUUACUGGGUGUAAAGGGAGUGUAGGUGGUUUGGCAAGCCAGAAGUGAAAACCCGGGGCUCAACCCCGUGGAUUGCUUUUGGAACUGUUGAACUAGAGUGCAGGAGGGGUAAGUGGAAUUCCCAGUGUAGCGGUGAAAUGCGUAGAUAUUGGGAGGAACACCAGUGGCGAAGGCGGCUUACUGGACUGUAACUGACACUGAGGCUCGAAAGCGUGGGGAGCAAACAGGAUUAGAUACCCUGGUA